UCCCUUUCGAGUGCAGUCCAUUUUCACGGCAGACACGUCUGCGGUUUGCCGUCGGUCGGUUCGUUGGCGUGACGACGACGGCGGCGGCGCUGGUGGCGGCGUGUCACCAACGCGAGUCGAACGUGAAUAUUUUUGAUAGAGUGUUUUUCGAAUUUUCAAUAAUAUUAUCGUAUAAACAAUAACAACAACAACAAUACAAUUACCUAACUACACGUCUCGUGUUAUCAUACCUAGCCAUUUAAUAAUAAUAAUAAUAAUAAUAUCAUGAUCAAAUAAAUUAUGAUAUCCAAACGCGUAUAUCAUAUUACAUUGUUAUCGAUUGAAAAACUUAAUGGUUUUUUUUUUUUUAUAUAAUUUUGUUUUCUUAUAAAAUUACAACAAUAUAUUAUUACUGCCGGUUUGUCGGCGAGGAACCAGCAAUGUUGCGGUACUUUGGUAGAUACUAAACUAUAGUACAAUAUUAUAUUAUACAAUAUUAAAACAAUAAAAAAUUAAAACGGAUACAAUAUACAUAUAAUUAUAAUUAUGUUAUAAUUAUCGUACGGUUUUACGCGGUGGGUUUAAUAAUUAAUUGGGCGUGUAUUAACAAGGAUUGUAUUGUUAUGAAAUGUUGCGUAAAAGACGCAAAACAGAUUAAUAAUCUACGGGUAUUGUGCAUUAAAAUUAUCGUAUUAAAAUAAUAAAGGCGCCCCGAUGAUCGUCCCGUGGAAUGUUUUAAUUGUACACGUAUUUGCCGAAAUCCGUAACUCGAGUUGCUCGUCGUCGUAAAACGGUAAUAAUGUUAUUAUGUUACACGAAACACUCGUACGCAACGUGAUGUCCGGUAUCAAACAUGCAUAUUAUACUGCAUGUUGUAUUGGUAAAAUCGGCGAGGAACUCUGUUCGAUGGGGGGUAAUUUUGGAAAAAAACCGAUUCGAAAUCACGGUUUUUUUUUUUUUUUUUUUUUUAACUAAUUGACAACUUUUUUUUUAUUGUUUAGUACGAAAUAAAUAAUAAUAAUAAUAAUAAUAAUCAUAAAAAGAAAUCCGACGAAUAAAAAAACUAAAUAUCCGGUACAGUAUAGGUGUAUGGUAAAAACGAUCGGUGAAAACUGAACGGGUGAAUAACCGCACGGUAACAUUGCGAUUCGAAAAAGUCUAAGAAAUGUAUACGAUAUUAAUAUGUAUGUGUAUAUAAUGUUAAUAAGAUGUUAUAAUAUUGUCACGUUAGAACCGCAUUACUAUAUUUCAUUAGAAGAAAAAAAAAAAAAUUAAAUGAAAAAAAAAAAAACCCCGAGUGUUAAAACAAUAAAAAGGCCCGGGUAAAGAUAAUUUUGUUGAGAGAGGCGAAAUCCUCGUGAAACGUUCACAUUAUUAUUAUUAUUAUUAUUUUUUUUUUUUUGCAGGAAGUCAUCAUUAAUAAAAAGAAAAAAAAACAUUAACAAUAAUAAUAAUGAUAAUAAUAAUAAUAAUAAUAAUCAUAAUGAAAGUAAU